CCUACGGGAGGCAUCAGUAGGGAAUCUUCCACAAUGGACGAAAGUCUGAUGGAGCAACGCCGCGUGAGUGAAGAAGGGUUUCGGCUCGUAAAGCUCUGUUGGUAGGGAAGAAAGAUAGAGGUAGUAACUUGCCUUUAUUUGACCUUAAUAACUUAGAAAGUCACGGCUAACAACGAGCAAGCAGCCGCGGUAAUACGUAGGUGGCAAGCGUUGUCCGGAUGUAUUGGGCGGAAAGCGAGUGCAGGCGGUGAAAUAAGACUGAUGUGAAAGCCUUCGGCUCAACCGGAGAAUUGCAUAAGAAACUGUUGAACUUGAGUGCAGAAGAGGAGAGCGGAAUUCCAUGUGUAGCGGUGGAAUGCGUAGAUAUAUGGAAGAACACCAGUGGCGAAGGCGGAUGUCUGGUCUGCAACUGACGCUGAGGCUCGAAAGCGUGGGUAGCGAACAGGAUUAGAUACCCUUGUAGUC
rnacentral:rRNA from 1 species